rnacentral:rRNA from 1 species
CAGUAGCCGCGGGAAUACGAAGGGGGCUAGCGUUGUUCGGAUUUACUGGGCGUAAAGGGCGCGUAGGCGGACUGAUAAGUCAGGGGUGAAAUCCCAAGGCUCAACCUUGGAACUGCCUUUGAUACUGUUUGUCUUGAGUUCGAGAGAGGUAAGUGGAACUGCGAGUGUAGAGGUGAAAUUCGUAGAUAUUCGCAAGAACACCAGUGGCGAAGGCGGCUUACUGGCUCGAAACUGACGCUGAGGCGCGAAAGCGUGGGGAGCAAACAGGAUUAGAUACCCCUGUAGUCCCUGUCUCUUAUAC